rnacentral:sRNA from 1 species
GGUAAUAGAAAUAUAUAACUGACUUGUCUUGUUGCUAGGUAAUAGAAAUAUAUAACUUUGUCUUGUCGCUAGGUAAUAGAAAUGUAUAACUUUGUCUUGUUGCUAGGUAAUAGAAAUAUAUAACUUUGUCUUGUCGCUAGGUAAUAGAACUAUAUAACUGACUUGUCUUGUUGCUAGGUAAUAGAAAUGUAUAACUGACUUGUCUUGUCGCUAGGUAAUAGAACUAUAUAACUGACUUGUCUUGUUGCUAGGUAAUAGAAAUAUAUAACUGACUUGUCUUGUCGCUAAGUAAUAGAAAUGUAUAACUGACUUGUCUUGUUG